AAAACUCUUGAUGGGGCUACGUUAGAAGAUUAGGUGUUGGACCUUCUCAUGGACCUGUUAGCUAGUUUCUCAGCCUUGUUCUUCUGUUCUGGUCCUCUUUAACCAAAAUUGCCUUGGUAAUCAGUUGGCAAAAGUUACCAGGAGUAGGCUGGAAUGAACCAAAACACUUGUAGACCAAAUGGGUCCCACUGACGUGGCCAGUUAAGAUCCUCAAAACUUGAUUACUUUUUGUUGACUGGUAAGGGUCUGUUAAGAGUAAUUUCUGUGCCGUGAUGGUAAAACGAAGAGGGGUUUCUGGUAUUUUGGCAAAUCUGGGAUGAGGUUUACAACUGGGUUGGCAUCUUCUUCGUCAAAACCGCGAAAACUUAUCUGGUUUGGGCGUUUGGCAGCUCCUCUCCCGGGCUUCAGACGGGGUCGGAAGUGAAUUACGAGUCGGACCAAUUUGCGAAUCGAGCGACCUCAUCAUUGAUGUGGUUUCUCUGCAACAAAGUCUCUCUGAAUUCGCUUCCUCAAUGAAGGGAGUAAUUUAGAUUCUUUGAAUCUCAAACAAUGCAAAGCCUAUUUGCGAACGGACGGUCUUAGAAUUUCAGGAACCCAAUUGGUUUGUUUACAAAGAGUUGAAGAGCACCGGAGGUUAAGAGAUGGAAAUGGUGAAGCAUUAUAUCCCAAACCAUCACUGUACAUGCCGUGGAAAACUGAAUUUAUCUCAAAGAAAGACUUGGCAAGAGUGUAGCUGGAAGUAUCAAAGAGUAAGGUUUGAGCUUCUUUUCUUCUAAUAACCUGAAAUGAUGUAUUUCAGUUGUGACUAUAGAUUUUGAGGGUCUGAUUAUGAUAGAAGUUAUUUGAAGAGGACACUAUAUUAUAGAGGGAUUUUAUAGUAGGUUGGGAGAAGCCCAAUGUGUUUAUGAAUGUCCCUAUUUGACAUCCAACUAUAUUGCUGUUCUGUUGUCAAAGCUUGCUAGAACUAUUAAAGCUUGCUGUUCUUUUUUUUCUUUUUCAUGUUGCAUACAUAAAUAUGCUAGAAGGUGAUCUAUUGAUCUAGAAUGUGAUCUUUGGGUUGUCAAAGAAUGCAUCUAGGUCCUAGAUUUGGCCCAGUCUAAUCAUUAAGAGACGAAGACUUCAGGUGGGGAUGCUCACAAACAUGAUAGUUUAUAGGCUGUAUACUUAUUAUUUUGUACAUUUGGAAAUGAAGUUCAGAGUAUAGCAUAGGAAUGGAGGUGUCAACAAGUGGCGACAUCUAUAGCUAUGAAAUCCUGCUAUUUGAGAUGUUGAUAGGCAAAAGAUUGACAGAUGACAUGUUUAAAGACGGCCUGAACCUGCAUAAAUUGGUCAGAUAAGGCUUUGGUCUCCUUAUCCUAUUGGAUGGUGAUCAGAGCUGAGUCUUCUAGCCAUCCCGGUCAGCCAGCUUUUGAGCAAGCACUUGGAGCCUAUUAUUGAAGAGGAGCUUUUGAACGAGCACAUGGACACUAUUGAAGAGGUUUGACAUGUAAAACAAGAAACUUUCAACUAUGUAAUCUUAUUGUUUACUGAUAAUCUGUAUCAAUGUGCUUUGUUUAGUGUAAGACUCGGCUUUGAUUAUCCAACAAGAUGCUACCAGUCUACUUUGUUCUUGGAAUUUUAUGAUCUGUACCUAAAUUUGAAUGCCUGACCGGGACGGCUAGAAGACUCGGCUCUGAUCAAGAUGCUACCAGUAUACUUUGUUCUUUGGAUUUUAUGAUUUGUACCUAAUUUUGAAUGCAUGGAAACUUUCUAAGUAUAUUAUGUCUUUUUUCAUUUGAAAUUCAGCUUCACCCAACCAUUCAAUUACACUGCUCAAUCUCAUCACCUCCUUGAGCUCCAUAUUAUUUCCCCAUGAAAGACUGCAUGGCAUUGUGGUCUGCCAAUUCCACCAUGCACGCACACAAAAGCUCUGGAUCACUGUAUUCUAAUAUGGACCAAGGUCCAGGUAGAACACGGUUAAAUCCGGCGCAUGAGUUAUCCGGCAAGUGAAGAAGGAAUCUAACGGCGUGGGACCCACCGAUCUGCAAUUGAUGUUGGACUAUAGUUUACGGUCUCAUUCUUAUGUUGAUUAAACUGAAAGGACAUAUACAAAAAGCUGGAUAAACUUCCAGGCUGAAGAUGGUAAAAGACUUUGGAGGCACAAGCAAAUGUACUAAAGUAAUUGGUACUUGAAGUAGAACGAGGAAGAUCCUUGUAAAAGUUUGAACCCUAUGUAGUAGAGAAAGAUAACUACCUUGUAAAACUCAAUUAUCUUGUAAACUUUCGUAGAAGCUUCAUUCCUUGUAUAACAUUUAUGAGAAAAAUUAAAAUGUAUCAUUCCCUUUCGUACAAGCUUUA